AGUCCACAGAAAUAUCUGAUUUCAAAGAGAUGCUUGCAUUCUGUACUGAUGCCAUCUAGAAUUGUAAAUGACCAGUGUCACACUGCUAAGUGGAGAAAGCGUGAAAGAAGAAUCCCAUCAGUACAUUCACGAUAGAGGAAAUAAGAAACAAUGAAAGCCACAAGUAAGUCCUGAGUUGAUCAACAGUAUUGCACUUCUCCAGGUUUACUCGAAGGCAGCAAAAUUGGCCCUACUCCCAACCCUGCAACAUGCACCAUUUCCAUAAACAAUCUACAGAGAUGGCUGAGAAAAAGAAAAAGGGGUACUCUCCUUUACCCCUUCUCCAAAGCCCGAUGAAGUAAAGAGUAGAAAUCAAGAGUGUCUACAAGAAUUGGGGAUUGGCAUUGAUUCUCCACUGUGUGAUUACUCAUGCUUUAUGGCAAUGUGCCUAUUUAAAGGGCAGGUAAUGACUUAGCAAGAAGGAAGGAGAGAGAAUGUCAAACUCACCUGAAGUCUUACCAAUUGGU
rnacentral:lncRNA from 1 species